rnacentral:rRNA from 1 species
CCCUUAGAUGUCCUGGGCCGCACGCGCGCUACACUGAACGGAUCAGCGCGUUUUCCCUUCCCGAGAGGGACGGGUAACCUGCUGAACCCCGUUCGUGGUAGGGAUCGGGGCUUGCAAUUAUUCCCCGUGAACCAGGAAUGCCCAGUAAGUGCAAGUCAUAAGCUUGCGUUGAUUACGUCCCUGCCCUUUGUACACACCGCCCGUCGCUACUACCGAUUGAACGUUUUAGUGAGGUACUCGGACUGAGCCUCAGAAGAUUCACGUCUUUUGUGCUGCUCGGGAAGAUUCCCAAACUUGAGCGUUUAGAGGAAGUAAANGUCGUAACA